GAUUCCUGGAGGGAGAGGGGAACGGACAGCAAACAAUAGACACAAUACGAUCGUGAGGUAUAUAGUUAAUGUUGGUGAUGAGUGCUCCUCAAAGGAAACAACUAAAACCAGACAAGGGAAGUCGGGGUGUCAGGGAGAAUGGUUUGUAGUAUUGAUGACAAUGGUUAAGGAAGGCCUGAGUUCUGCAAAGACCUCAAGGAUAUGAGGGACUAGAGUGCCCUCUGCUGUGGAAGAGCCUGCGCAAAGAUCCUGAGGUGGGAGGGGUCAGGGAGCCAACUCAUUUUACGGUAAGUGGAGGUGGGAUCCAGGGGAGGAUUCUGAGCAGAGGAGGGACGUGGCCCAAUUUGGGCUUUGAAAGGAUCCUGCUUGUCUGUGUGCCAGCAUCCUGGUGGUGGUUGGGGGAGUCUGCAUCAAUCCUGGGUGCUGUUACCUGAAAAAAUAGCAGGUGUUAGACGAAAGAACAGAUGUCUGGCCCAUUGUCUCCAGUCUGUUCCUGUCCACAGCUUCCCUUUAUGCUGAGCCCCUGCCACAUGCAUCAUCAUCCUGGCCAUGUGGCAUUGUCACAGACCGUCUCUCCUGCUAGCCUCCUAACUCAGGGCCUGGGUCUUCCCCAGCAUUAAGUAAAUCAGUCUCAGGCAGACAGCCCUUUAUAGGUGUUUGGGCCAGGUGCGGUGGCUCACGCCUGUAAUCCCAGCUCUUUGUGGGGCCGAGGUCUUUGAGCUCAGGAGUUCAAGACCAGCCUGGGCAGCAUGACAAAACCCUGUCUCUACCAAAAAUACAAAAAUUAGCCACGCAUGGUGGCACACACCUGUGGUCCCAGCUACUCGGGAGGCUGAGGUGGGAGGAUCGCUGGAGCCUGGGAAGUUGAGGCUGCAGUGAGCCGUGAUCAUGCCACUGCAUUCCAGCCUGUGUGAUGGAGAGAGACCCUGUCUCAAAAAAAAUAAA
rnacentral:lncRNA from 10 species